CAGCCUGAAAUGAUGCUGUGAAUUCAUGUCUCUUCUCUGAAGUGUAUGGUGGAGACAACUAGAUGAAUUUCUGAUCAGGCUU
ensembl:snoRNA small nucleolar RNA, C/D box 111B